GGAACGGACAACACCGGGCGAGGGACAGCUAAUAUUCUAUGUAGUAACCUUAGAUUAUCUGGCCAACAAUAAGCAGUAUAUACAUGUUAAUAAUUAAAUGCCAAUACUUUUGAAUUCUUUUAAAAUAAAUUUUACAUUUUAUAAUUCCACAUAAAGUAAACAUAAUUCAACGAGUUUUUUCCUUAUUUAUAGUAGAGGUAGAAAAAUAAACCAUUGAGCGAUCAAGUAUUAUUUUAUCGCGGAUCAACGACACUCAUCAGAUUAUUUUUUCUAAAAUAAUAAAGACUAUAACGAACACUAUUAUACACAUUAUCACAUGCGUACAUACAUUUAUUGCACUAAAAGGUGCUUAUGAUAAAUACAAUUUUUUUUGUAAAAGCAUUUUAUCCCCCCCCUCACAAAUGUAACCAAAUUACGCCACUGAUAAAUUGAAUCAGUGUGUCACAAAUCAAUGACUCGAAAAUUCAGUACCAACAUUAUAAACCACUAAAUCAACAAUCUAAGCCUUUAAAUGAGUUGAAUCAGUAAGGUCACCAAAUCCAUUAUCGUAAUAUCGUCUUAUCAAUUUCAGUGUAAUACUGUUCCUAUAGAAACACGUUCAGCUAUCAACAAUAUAAUUUGAUUUGAUUAAUUGAAUUUAGGUUCAAAUCAUGACCUGUUAAAAUAUGAUUUGACUUAUCAAUUGAGAAUUAAUGAUUUAAUGAGUUGACUUGAUGAAUUUACUCACUUAAGUGAAUUGAAUUGAAUGAAUUGAUUCAUCAAAGUGAGUCAUAAUUCCCAUAUCUACUGUCAAUACGUCUUCAAUAGAUACUACAUACCUAUUUAGUUUAAAAGUUGUCCUAUGGUAUACCAUAGUUUAUACACAAUCUGUUUUGUUGGUAACUGGUAAGAUAACGAAUAUUUUUUAACUAAAAUACGGUUUGGAUGAAAUAUUUUCGAUGAAUUUAUUUUUCAGAUAAAAUACGUUCCUACUGAAAUACUUUUCAGAUACUAUAUCUUCGGAUAAAAUAUUUCCGGACAUUAUAUAGACCCUCGUUUAUAUAUAAGUAUAUAACAACUAUUAGUACUAUAUUAAUUCAUGUUGGUAACAAGUAAAUGAUAAUUUCAAUUUCCAAGGUCAGAGUCGUGAUUGCCAUAUUGCCGCCAGUGGAGAGCAUCAGCUCCCACCUAUUACUGUGAAAUUAACCUGGCGACAAUACCUACUACUAGGUAGGUACUUAAAGAACAAAUAGCAGCAGUGAUCGGCAAUGGCCGACUGCAUAAUAAAUAUUUAAUGGAAAAUAACAUUUACUACAAUAUUGUAGACUCUCCAGCGUUCCCAGAGAUUUUUUAGAUGACUGAAUAAUUAAACCCUGUACAAGUAUAAGGAAAAUAGUAUUA